UAGCCAGACUCUAGUGUGCUUGAGUCUGCAGUGACCCUAUGCAUUCCUACAGUGCUUGCCAGAACAGGGUUGGAAUGGGUUUAGGCCUUCCCAUGCUCUAUUCAGAGCAAGGUCAUAGGAAAUAACAAAGCCAA
ensembl:snoRNA